GACGACGACUCCUACGGGAGGCAGCAGUGGGGAAUAUUGCACAAUGGGGGAAACCCUGAUGCAGCCAUGCCGCGUGUGUGAAGAAGGCCUUCGGGUUGUAAAGCACUUUCAGUAGGGAGGAAGGUAGUGUAGUUAACACCUGCACUAUUUGACGUUACCUACAGAAGAAGCACCGGCUAACUCCGUGCCAGCAGCCGCGGUAAUACGGAGGGUGCGAGCGUUAAUCGGAAUUACUGGGCGUAAAGCGCAUGCAGGCGGCCUGUUAAGUCAGAUGUGAAAGCCCGGGGCUUAACCUCGGAAUUGCAUUUUGAAACUGGCAGGCUAGAGUCUUGUAGAGGGGGUAGAAUUUCAGGUGUAGCGGUGAAAUGCGUAGAGAUCUGAAGGAAUACCAGUGGCGAAGGCGGCCCCCUGGACAAAGACUGACGCUCAGAUGCGAAAGCGUGGGGAGCAAACAGGAUUAGAUACCCUGGUAG
rnacentral:rRNA from 1 species